CCUGCAUGUUGUUGUUAUGUAGUGUCAAAGUCUGUUCUCUGUGCCAUGGACUUAACAUCUCUUCUCUGCUUUUCCUUUACGACAUAUCUUUUUGGAUUUGCUUCUGCUCUCGAUGAACGAAAACAAGUAGUAGAAGCUGGAGAUAAUGCACUACUGAAGUGUCGUGAUUCCAGUAUUGGCAAAGUGGAAAAGUUAUCAUGGAUCAGGAGAGAUCUGGGAACAAAUAUGCAUGUGUUCUUUUACCGAGAGAAUCGCCUCUAUGAAAACAUCCAGCAUCCAUCCUUUCGUGGCCGAGUGAAGCUGAGUGACCCACAAAUUAAACAUGGAAACGUGUCCCUUAUUCUCUACAACACCACCACUAAUGACACUGGAACAUAUGAGUGUUAUGUGAUAGGCAGUCACGCUGAACGCCGUAAGAGAGCAGUUUCUGAAGCCCAGCAUGUAGUGCAGCUGAAAGUUAAAUCUAUAAGUCAGACAGGAGGACACACAGAGGAUGGAUCUGUUGGACUGAUCAUUGGUGUGGUAGUUGCUGUUGUCCUUAUUGUUGUUGGUGUUGUUUUUUUGAUCUACAGAAAACGUAAACAAGAAAAUGUUGGUUCAUACUAGCUUCCACUUGAACUGCAGAAUGUUUGAAAUGACUAAACAAAACUGGAAACAUCACAGUGAAGAUGACAGAGGAGCAGUUUGAAGAGGAAAUGGAUUCUGUUCUGUUCUUCACUCAUCACCUACCUGACAGCUGACACCUCACACCUGUUUCUCAAGUGUGCUAAUGUGCACUGAUGUUCUUACAGCCAACUAAGAGGAAAAAGCAAAUCUUUAUUGUCUCGGUUAUCACCAACAGUACUUAGUGGUGGAAUAAGUUUCUCCCUGGCUGUCAUUCUUCCCCUGAUGUGACUGUCUUUCUGCAUGAUGUGUAAGUAAUGUUGUCUUGUAAGCUUUUCAUUCUGAGAAAUUAAAAGCUAAUAACAGUUUUGUACAUUGGAUUGUGGUGUACUAUGACUUUCUUGCUGCUAUCAAUGAAACAAAAAAUGAAUCCUGCAACAACCUA